CUAAUCUAUUCCAACUAUGAUAAGAAGUCAUUUUCCUCAAGUCCACAAACCAUAAUGCCCCCAUAGAAUUCUUUAACACUAGAAAAUAAAAGUGAUUGGCGAUGAGUGGAGAUGUAUGAAAAAUUGUGGGCAAUGAUUGCUUACUUUUCUGCAACAAAGACAGAGACCACUCUUUGGAAAAUACAAAAGAAGGGACGAAAGAAGUGCACAAAACACCUUCAUUAUUCGAGAGAGAGAGAUUGAAAUUUUUAGCCAUGAAGGUAAUAUAACCUCCUAGGAAAGGUAAGGAAGCUCCACCCUCCUCCAACUACACAAAAUUGCAUACCCAUCUCUCUCUCUCACUGUUGAUUAUUUUCUCCUUUGUUCCUGCUCUUUGUGAUCAUGGAAACUAGAACCAUUGGUGUUGCUGCUGCGGCACCUGGAGGGCCACCCGGCAACCAUUCCCUUAAACACCAUCAUUCUCAUUCUCAUCUUCUUAGCCAACAUCAUACCUUACUUUCCUCCACUUCCAUUCGUAUCAUGAUCAUAUCAGGCAUCUCAAUUGUUGUUCUUUUCCUCAUCUUUCUAAUUAUAGUCAUGCUUCGAAGACUCAAAUCCGCUAAAAAUAGAAGCAGAUGCUUUAAAGACAAUAAUGGUUGUAUAAACAACGCCAGUUGCAGGUUCAUCGCUCACACCGCCAUAGCAUUCACUUCUAGCCCAGAUGUGAAGGGAGGUUGCCUAUAUGGAAGCAAUUUGGGUCAUAAAUCUCCAAGAAAGUAUGGAGGAGCCCAAGUUUUCACAUACAAGGAUCUUGAAGUGGCCACAGACAGAUUCAGUGAAGCAAAUGUAAUAGGAAAUGGAGGUUUUGGAGUGGUGUACAGAGGUAUCCUGGCAGAUGGUACUGUGGCUGCCAUUAAGAUGCUGCGUAGGGAAGGAAAGCAAGGGGAACGUGCAUUCAGGAUAGAGGUAGACCUUCUAAGCAGGUUGCAUUCCCCAUACUUGGUGGAACUACUUGGCUACUGUGCUGACCAGCACUAUAGGCUCCUAAUUUUUGAAUUCAUGUCUAAUGGUACACUUCAAAAACAUCUCCAUCACAAGCAAUAUCAGCCACUGGAUUGGGGGACCCGGUUACGGAUAGCCCUUGAUUGUGCUAGGGCCCUAGAGUUCCUCCAUGAACAUACAAUCCCAGCAGUUAUCCACCGUGAUUUUAAGUGCAGCAACAUUUUGCUUGAUCAAAAUUUCCGUGCCAAGGUUUCAGAUUUUGAAUUUGCCAAGAUGGGUUCAGAAAAGAUCAAUGGUCAGACGUCAUCAACACGUGUGCUGGGGACCACAGGUUAUCUUGCUCCAGAGUCUGCCUCGACAGGUAAGCUGACGACAAAAUCAGAUGUAUACAGCUAUGGUGUUGUUCUUUUACAGCUCCUAACUGGCCGGAUACCCGUGGACACCAAGCGGCCUCCUGGUGAACAUGUCCUUGUCUCCUGGGUUAGUGAAUUUAAAAUCCAUCACUUCCUCUCUCAGAAAUGUUACCAACUAGUAACCAGAAUAUGAUACUAAGAACGUAGCAACGUUAUAAAGUUCAAGCCUUUAAUGCCUGCUAUUUAAAUAGAAGUAGAAAAUGUGUGUUAAAUUCCCUGGAAUUAGCCAACAUUGAAGAGAAAUUAUAGUGAAAUUUAUCAGUCGUACACUAUUAUUGCAGGCUCUUCCAAGGUUAACUAAUAGAGAAAAGGUAGUGGAAAUGGUUGACCCAUCUCUUCGAGGCCUCUACUCAAAGAAAGAUUUAAUUCAGGUAGCAGCCAUUGCAGCCAUGUGUGUGCAACCCGAAGCAGAAUACCGGCCUUUAAUGACAGACGUGGUGCAGUCACUAAUCCCUCUGGUCAAGAACCUCUCUUCCACUGCUUCCUCUAGAUUUCGGAAUCACAUAGUUAGUCCCAGCUGUUAGGGACAGUUCUGAAAUUGUAGAAUCGUACAACUCUCUUCUGCUUCGCUCUACGUUGUCAGGUUAAUAAUCAAUUUGAUAGAACUCUAAUCUUUAGAAUUGAAACAAAGGUUUUUAGACGAAGCUUCGUGAAUAAUGACAAUACCAACCAGCAUGCAUUUUGUAUUCACUUAAAACCUUUUGGUGUGAAGUUCCUUGCCGAUCAAAGACACAGGGGCAACAACUUUUUCCACAAGGCCUCCGCAUUUACACAACUGGAACUACACCACAAUGCACACAAAAGCCCAUGCACAAACAAAAAUUAUAUAAGAACCUCUCCAAUUAUUUGUGUACCAUUCAAAGAGCAAUAUUAAGUGAAUACCUUAAUACUGCUUAAUACAAUUGUUUAUGAUAAUGAUGAAUAGAGAAUCACUGUAUUUCCAAUCAACAUAUGUAAAAAUAAAUUUACAUUUUGGCCUAAAAAAUCCAUUUUAGCCUUCUGAUGUACUAAUACAAAGUUGUGGAAGAAGAAAUCUAGUAUACCACUAGUACCACAACUGCCCCUGAAAUGACGAGAACAGAAUAUCAGAGACAUUUCUGUCUCACAAUUCACAACUGAGAAUAGAUCAACGCUGGAAAAAGAGGAUCAACUCGCAGUCAUGUCACCAGAGUCCCCCUUGCUAGCUCCUGAUUCCACAGUAACACUUGUUUCUCCUGCUUUCUCUUCGAAUGAUUUAUCAUUCUUUUUACCAAAUUUAUCAGCAUAUUUUGCAAAUGCAGUAGACAGGGCUGAUUUGACUGUUAGUUCAGGCUCUUUCUUCCUACGUUUGCUUACGUCUUCACCUUCCUUCUCCACAUCCGUAACUUCAUUCACUGAGGAAGGUUCAUUGUCUUUUGGCGAUGUUUCUGGAACAACAGGAUGGCUGGAAACAACACGCUUGAAUGGUUCAUGAAAAGUGUCAUACAAGCGUUUUACCUUGCGCUCUCCUAUGCCAGGGCAACGAGCUAGAUCUUCCAUGGAUGCAUCCAUGAUAUUGGAAAGAGACUGAAAGAAAAUGACAAUCAGAUACAGGACAAACAUGGAAAAAUAGAACCAAUUACAUGCUAUCUGGGGACUAAAAUGCGGACAUACCCCGAAGGUAGACCCAAGCGUGACUACGUCAGUCUUGUUAACAUGUCGAACAGUUGUGAGAGCAUGGGUUAACUAUACCAAAAGAAACAUAGUCUCAGCUUAAUUAGUUCAAAAAUACGAUUUAAGCAGGUUAUUCAAGACUCCAGGUUGGACAACAUAACAUAGAAUUAUAUGGGAGACCUCAAUCUAGUUUAUACCCGUGAUAAAUAGUCUGUAUCCAUUUGGCCCUGAAUAAGAUCUGCAGGCUUGUUUUCAUACAUUUUGAUAGUCUCCAAAUAGCGGCCACAUUCCUCCAAGCUAUAACCAAACACCACCAAAUAAAUUCAAAAAGUAUAAUCCUUUUAAGGUGGGUGACUGCAAGAAACAAGUUCCUUAUUAUUAAUAUAACAGAAUCAUUUGCUGCAUAGGUCCAAGCCUCUAAAUGGAGUUGAUCAAAUCAACUUCCAAAACACAAAAAAUGUACAUUAGUGGAUAUUGAACAGCAAAUCAAAAAAAAUUUGACCCCACUACAUUGGGAACUAAGACAAAGAAUGAAUUGCAAUAAAUGAAGUAUUCUCAGGCUCCUAUCAAACUAUAUCCUGUGUUUAACAUAUAUGCCUCCCUUGCACAAUGGGGAAAAAUGCAGUUUACCUCCAGGCACAUAGCAGCGUACAAUCAUGAAGUAGAGCUGUUUUAGUGACUUCAAGUAAAGGCUUAACCACAUCCUCCACAUCGACAUGACACAGAACAAUGCGAAGCUUGUAGUUCUUUUGCAGUUCCCUUAUUCGAUAAUACAGAUAGUCAGGAUGCAGUAAAUGAUACCGAAGACUGCAUCAAAUGGACAACUUAUCAAAAUUAGCAAAGUUUAGGCAUAAUUCAGAAAGGCACAAACCAAAUGCUAUAGGCUGUGAUCAUAAACUCCAAGACGCAGGUGUUCAUAGUCUAUAUCAUUUAAAUCAACAUUUUAAAAUAUAAUUUCAUGUGAAACAUAACAAAUGAGAAGCAAAUAGUGGAAGCCCAUAGCUUAAACCUUAGAUAGAGGGCACAAGAAUUCUGGCCAAGCAAGUAGUCACAAACCACAUCUGCAAAAGCCCAUCUUACAUUUCUGAUAUGUUUAAGCAACGGAUUUCCCUUCUGCCUGUGGCUAACAAGAAUUGCAUUGCGACUCUGGCCAUUCUGCAGAGAAGAAGAAGCAACAGCAGGCGAUGGAGACGGAGAAGGCACACUUGCAUCAUCCGAGACGGGCACAGAUUGAGAGGUAGAGGAGGAAGGAGGAGGUGGAGGAGGAGUGUAGAAUUCAGAGUUCUUGAUAAAAGAGAAUGCUUGAGAGAAAGUCUGUGAUGGCUUAAAUAAAGAUUGCGACUUUGGCUGUGAGCUCUGCAUUACUUCUUGGUAGGAUGGUAUUUGAAUCACCACCUUCUUAGGGUUAGUUGUUCUGUUCUGCUCUUCUCCCUCCUCCAUGUCCUUUGCCCUAAUUCCUUUCACCGUUUCAAAAUUCAGUUGAAC
rnacentral:misc_RNA from 1 species